GCGCUUCCCUGAACGCGUAGUGCUGCCGUGAUGGCCUGUGGUUUUGUGCAGGGUGUCGCGGCCGGCUGGGUUCGUCACCGGUUCUACGGCUGUUACCUCUCCAAAGCGGGCGCUGUGGGCACCGUGCUUAGCCUCAUGGAGUCACACCUUGCGGCUGUGUAAGCCCACCAGACCGAGCAGAAAUACCUGACACGCAGCGUUACCAGGAGCUAGUUCUCCAUGCCUGGUCUAGGUGUAACUGCUUGCCUGUUUCACCCAGACCACGUGGAACUGGGAUUGUUUAGUCUGGAGAAGGGAAGACUCAGGGGUCCUAAUUGCUACAACUGCCUGAGAGAAGGUUGUGGUGAGAAGGUAAACAGUAUUUUGCAUGAAAUCGGUGAGUAUGAAAAAUAAGUUUUCACAAUACCACAUGCAUUCUUCAGCAUAAAUGUUUUGCAGAUAUUUUCUCUGUAGUUUCACAUUCAGAAAACAGGAAAAACAAGAUGAAUGGCAUGUAGGCAGUGGUUAAUAAUUGUGACCUUAUCAAAGGCCUUUUGAAAUGGGGAAAAAAAAAUACCAAACAACCAACUUGAAUAAAUCUUUAAGAAAUAAUAGGUCUUCUGUAGGUACAGCCUAAUUCAGUACAGUGCUAGAGCAGCUCCACAACUCAGUAGACUUGCACUAAUCUAAAUUGUGUAAUGAUAGCCCUAACAGUAGUUAUGACCAAAUUUUUCAAUACGUUAACAAUUUAUGUUAUAUUUGGUUUGAGUUACAGGUGAUUAAGCAUUGGAGAAUUUGGCUUAAUCUGUGCAUUUUGCAAGUGGAAGAAGAAUAAUUCUUCAUUUAUAUGACUUCUCAGCUGAAAUAGCAUGUCUUUACUCGCUCAUCAUGUACUUUUCUGUGCAUUUUACGUCCUGCCCAGCAUAUGGGUGAAGCAAGGCACAGGACUGAUGAUGAGCGACUUGGCAGCAAUUAUUUCAGAGAUAAAGGAAAUGAGGCUUCAUUACUUAGGAUACUCAAGGUGUACAUUUAACAGUUUGAAUCUUCGAAGUGUAAAAAAAAAAAAAAAAAAAAAGAGGCAUGAAAUAAAUCUGGACAAACCAUUCUCCUAGAAGCUGAGAACUUGCCCAGUGCUAACCCCGGAAAUGGCCAAGUGUUCACAAAAAAGCUGAAUUUUCAAACACAGAGCAGAUAAGGGUGAGCAUUACAGCUUUAAAAGUUUCUGAAUGGAGUAAUGUACUGGGACUCUAUCGUGUGGUCAUCGGUUAUAAGCCAGUACUCAUGUUGGACGCUGAUUGCAUUGUACUGAUGCAAUCAGAUUAAAGCAACAGGUGGGAGGAUCUUUUUUCACUGGGAGAAAGGAGAAUGAAAUACUCUAAUGCACCCGUAUGGUGGAGUGCUGAGUACAACAAACAAGACAUCCUUUGAAGCUUUCUUCUUUUCAGUGAUUAAAAUCCCUGCUUAAAUUCUGAUGCUAUGCUUACCAAGAAAGCCACCGACUUUAAACAAUUCAUUUUCUGAUCUACAAUACUUCCAUCUUUCUCACUCAUCCAAAGACAUUCAAUUUCCAAUGCAGUAUUUUGGAAGGAAAAAUCUUAAUGGAGUUCAGUAGCGUGCUUGAUGAAUGCACCCACAACUUUCCUGUCCAUGCAAAACCAUAAUAAUUGACUGCUGCUAAGAAACUAGGUUGAAGAUGAUGAGCUUUCUGGUUCAUCAUGUGUUUGUUAACUGUAUUAAAAUGUUAGUUGUAGGUUGUGUCAGCUCAAUUUCCUUGGACAUCAAACUUUGUAUUGAUGGCAGUAGCAUGCUGCUGUUGACCUGGAUGGUCAAAGAUAGAGCACAGUGGAAGAAUGGCAGUUGUGAUCAGCAUGCACAAAAUCACUGCAGUUAUGCUGUUAGAUUUUUCUUCACAAACAAAAGGACAUGAGCCAGCAACAUGCCCUCACAGCCCAGAAAGUCAACCAUAUCCUGGGCUACAUCAAAAGAAGUGUGGCCAGCAGGGUGACAGAGGUGAUCCUGUCCAUCUGCUCCGUACUGGUGAGGCCUCACCUGGAUUCUGGAUCUGGUCACCCAGAUGACUGGAGUCUUGCCAAUGUGACUCCCAUUUAUAAGAAAGGUUG